GACGAACGCUGGCGGCGUGCUUAACACAUGCCAGUCGAACGGAAAGGCCCUGCUUUUUUGUGGUGCUCGAGUGGCGAACGGGUGUGUAACACGUGAGUAACCUGCCCUUUACUUUGGGAUAACUUCAGGAAACUGGUGCUAAUACCGGAUAGCAGCUCCUGCUGCAUGGUGGUGGUUGGAACGUUUCGGCGGUUGGGGAUGUACUCGCGGGUUAUCAGCUUGUUGGUGGGGUAGUGGCUUACCAAGGCUUUGACGGGUAGCCGGCCUGAGAGGGUGACCGGGGACAUGAGGACUGAGAGACGGCCCAGACUCGUACGGGAGGCAGCAGGGGGGAAUAUUGUACAAUGGGGGGAAGUCUGAGACAGAAACGCCGCGUGCGGGAUGAAGGCCUUCGGGUUGGAAACCGCUGUAGGCUGUGACGAAGCGUGAGUGACGGUAAUGGGUAAAGAAGCACCGGCUAACUACGUG
rnacentral:rRNA from 1 species